AGCGAACGCUGGCGGCAGGCUUAACACAUGCAAGUCGAGCGGGCAUAGCAAUAUGUCAGCGGCAGACGGGUGAGUAACGCGUGGGAACGUACCUUUUGGUUCGGAACAACACAGGGAAACUUGUGCUAAUACCGGAUAAGCCCUUACGGGGAAAGAUUUAUCGCCGAAAGAUCGGCCCGCGUCUGAUUGGCUAGUUGGUGAGGUAAUGGCUCACCAAGGCGACGAUCAGUAGCUGGUCUGAGAGGAUGAUCAGCCACAUUGGGACUGAGACACGGCCCAAACUCCUACGGGAGGCAGCAGUGGGGAAUAUUGGACAAUGGGCGCAAGCCUGAUCCAGCCAUGCCGCGUGUGUGAAGAAGGCCCUAGGGUUGUAAAGCUCUUUUGUGCGGGAAGAUAAUGACGGUACCGCAAGAAUAAGCCCCGGCUAACUUCGUGCCAGCAGCCGCCGUAA
rnacentral:rRNA from 1 species